rnacentral:rRNA from 1 species
UACGUAGGGUGCGAGCGUUGUUCGGAAUUAUUGGGCGUAAAGCGCGUGUAGGCGGCUUUGCAAGUCGGGUGUGAAAGCCCUCAGCUUAACUGAGGAAGUGCGCCCGAAACUGCAGAGCUUGAAUACCGGAGAGGAUGGCGGAAUUCCCCAAGUAGAGGUGAAAUUCGUAGAUAUCGGGAGGAACACCAGUGGCGCAAGCGGCGGCCUGGGUAUGACCUGACACUGAGCCACGACGGCGUGGGGAGCAAACGGG